rnacentral:ncRNA from 1 species
UGGUACCCAAUGCAGCAAGGGUUAGAAAUGGAGUUCUUGUUAGAGGUCUUGGAGCCAAAAUGAUCUGAACCUAUUCUGAAACUAUAAAUGCUUAAGAUGCAUGGGGCCAGACAUGGAAUGUGAAUGCCUGGUGGACCACUUUUGGCAAGCAGAACUGAACUUACAGGAUAAACCAAAUGCUAUAUUAAGGAACCCAAUGCCAAUGUUAUUCAGACCACAGAAAAUGUUGAAUGAUAGAGACAGCAGAAUGGUGGCCAUGGAAAUCGGAAUCCACUAUGUACGUAAUUUGCAACAACUUAUCUGCUGAAUCAGCUAGCCCUGAAAGUGGGUAGUGUUGAAGUUUUGGGCCCAUACUCAGCUAUCAGGGAUUCAUGUUGUUUUUAUCUGGUAA